CUACGGGCCGCUCCAGUGAGGAAUAUUGCACAAUGGGGGGAACCCUGAUGCAGCAACGCCGCGUGGAGGAUGACGCAUUUCGGUGUGUAAACUCCUUUUAUAUGUCAAGAAAAUGACGGUAGCAUAUGAAUAAGCACCGGCUAACUCCGUGCCAGCAGCCGCGGUAAUACGAGAGGGUGGCAAGCGUUACUCGGAAUCACUGGGCGUAAAGGACGCGUAGGCGGGUUGGAAAGUCAGGUGUGAAAUCCUACAGCUUAACUGUAGAACUGCACUUGAAACUUCUAAUCUAGAGUAUGGGAGGGGGAGAUGGAAUUAGUGGUGUAGGGGUAAAAUCCGUAGAUAUCACUAGGAAUACCUAAAGCGAAGGCGAUCUCCUGGAACAUUACUGACGCUAAGGCGUGAAAGCGUGGGGAGCAAACAGGAUUAGAUACCCCAGUAGUC
rnacentral:rRNA from 1 species